rnacentral:sRNA from 1 species
CUGUAACUUGACCAAAUUCUUUUGUCGGGAAGACGAACUUUGGCAAGCUCGUAUUAAGCUCAUGCGGAUUGCAGAGUGGUAUAAUGACACAUUCCAGCGUGCACACCCUACCGAGAAAAGGUUAAUUGCAGCGGAAAUGAUUUUGAUCGAGGAGCAAAUGAAGCCUUUACUCGAAUCCAUUAAGUGGAACGCUUUUA